ensembl:lncRNA novel transcript
GGGGCCGGGGCGGAGGCGGCGAGGCCAGGCGUUUCGGAAGUCGGGGCUCCAGCUCAGCUGUCCUCGGGCCCCUCGUCGGGGCUCCCAGGGUCCCUGUCCACACACCAAGUUCUUGCAAGUCUCUGUCGAGGCUCGGGCGGGGGGGGAAGGGACCUCAUUUCCUAGGGUCAAUUCUCUCGCGGUCUCUGCCCGCUGACCCUUUGACCUCCACCUACAGGGCCCUUGGCGGCCGUAAGCCGGCGGUCGCCCGGGCUCCGAGGACGCUUCGCGCCCCAUCGCCUCCCAGCCUCAUUAGGCCGGCGGGGCUGUAAAGCAGGAAUCAGCCUCUGCCUAAUCCGGACCUGGGGUCAAUACGAGCCCAAACAAUGGGUUUUGCACUGUUGCCCAGGCUGGAGUACACUGGUGCAAUCUGGGCUUACUGCAGCCUCCCCCGUGGUUCAAGUGAUUCUCCUGCCUCAGCCUCCCAAGCAGCUGGGAUUACAGAGACAGGGUGUCGCUCUGUCACCCAGGCUGGAGUGUAGUGGGGCGAACAUAGCUCACUGCAGCCUCUGACUCCUGGACUCCAGCAGUCUUCCCACCUCAGCCUCCUGAAAGGAUCAUUUGUUCAACUCAGCCACUGUGCUGUGAAAAAUGCCAACAUUUCCAAUGAAGAGACCACAUGGAGAAACAUGUAGAGAGGAACCAAGGCCCUUAGCUGAUAGCCAGCAUUAGGCAUCAAGCAUGUGAAUGAAUGAACCUUCAGAUGAUUCCUGCUCUCUGUCAGUGAGUCUUCCACUUGUGACCCCAGACAUGGUAGAGGAGAUACAAGCCGUCUUCACUGUGCCUGUUUGGAUUCCUGAGUCACAGAAACUGUGAAAGAUAAACUCACUCUAGGGUCUUGCUUUCCUGGUUGGUUUUGAUGAACCAAGCUGCCAUGAAUCUUACAACCACAAGGAAAUGAAUUCUGCCAACAGCCAGAGUGAACUUGUAAGCAGACCCCAGUUGAGCCUGACGAUGAGAACAGAGGCCUAGCUCACACUUUGAUGGCAGUGUCACAGAGAAAAUUGCUAAGCCAUGCAUAGACUUACUGAACCACAUAAACUGUGAGAUAAUAAAUGUAUGUGUUAUUUUAAGCCAUUACAAUUGUGCUAAUUUGUUAUACAGCAUAGAAAACUAACACAAAAGUGAUGGAUCCUCUCCAAGAAAAAUGUAGAGACUCACAUAUACAUAGAAUUCUUAUGCAAUAUUUUUGGGUGUUGCUGGACCCCUGAUUUCCAUGAAUGGUGCCUAGUUUAAGAACCACUGCUCUAGAAUGUUUGUCCUGCAGUAACAUGCAGAAGAGUGCAAUGCCUAGAAAAUUUCCUUUGUGAUGUUUUGUAUUAAGUAU